CUGGACCAAUAAGCUAGGUCAGACUUAGCCAUGUGGAGUCAGUUCUUGAGUCAAUGAAACGGUAUUAACAUGUUUAUACCACCCUGUACAGAGAUUUCCCCAGUUAUAUGGACUGACGCUGCAGCCCACUCAGGGUACGCAGCUAUUUUUGGUAACAAAUGGUUCAGAGACACAUGACCAGUUGAAACAGCAAUGUUACCAUCAUUCAACACCACCUUGCCCUUUUUGAGGUCUACCCAAUAGUGGCAGCAGCCCAAGUUUGGGGACACAUUUGGAAGGGACAAGCUGUAAAAUGCUACUCGGACAACACAGAUACAUGCAAUAUUAUUAAUAAAGGGAGAUCCUCAAUCCCGACCAUCAUGAGGUUAGUCAGGAAACUGGUAUGGUUGGCAGCCACAGAGCACUUUCAUUUCAUGUGCGAACAUAUACCGGGCCACCACAACACAGCAGCUGAUGCCCUUUCUCGCUCUAAAUUACAGGUGUGACAUCAAGAACAUCCCACUGCUGAGAAAAAC